ACAUGCAGAGAACUUUCCAGAGAUGGAUUGGUGGCCUUCGGGAACGUCUGACACAGGUGCUGCAUGGCUGUCGUCAGCUCGUGUCGUGAAAUGUUGGGUUAAGUCCCGUAACGAGCGCAACCCUUGUCCUUAGUUACCAGCACGUUAUGGUGGGCACUCUAAGGAGACUGCCGGUGACAAACCGGAGGGAGGUGGGGAUGACGUCAAGUCAUCAUGGCCCUUACGGCCUGGGCUACACGCGUGCUACAAUGGUCGGUACAAAGGGUUGCCAAGCCGCGAGGUGGAGCUAAUCCCAUAAAACCGAUCGUAGUCCGGAUCGCAGUCUGCAACUCGACUGCGUGAAGUCGGAAUCGCUAGUAAUCGUGAAUCAGAAUGUCACGGUGAAUACGUUCCCGGGCCUU
rnacentral:rRNA from 1 species